AGCGGCGGACGGGUGAGUAACGCGUGGGCAACCUGCCUCAUACAGGGGGAUAACAGUUAGAAAUGACUGCUAAUACCGCAUAAGCGCACAGGACCGCAUGGUGUAGUGUGAAAAAACUCCGGUGGUAUGAGAUGGACCCGCGUCUGAUUAGGUAGUUGGUGGGGUAAAGGCCUACCAAGCCGACGAUCAGUAGCCGACCUGAGAGGGUGACCGGCCACAUUGGGACUGAGACACGGCCCAAACUCCUACGGAGGCAGCAUG
rnacentral:rRNA from 1 species